rnacentral:rRNA from 1 species
AGUGAACGCUGGCGGUAGGCCUAACACAUGCAAGUCGAACGGCAGCACAGUAAGAGCUUGCUCUUACGGGUGGCGAGUGGCGGACGGGUGAGGAAUACAUCGGAAUCUACUUUUUCGUGGGGGAUAACGUAGGGAAACUUACGCUAAUACCGCAUACGACCUACGGGUGAAAGCAGGGGAUCUUCGGACCUUGCGCGAUUGAAUGAGCCGAUGUCGGAUUAGCUAGUUGGCGGGGUAAAGGCCCACCAAGGCGACGAUCCGUAGCUGGUCUGAGAGGAUGAUCAGCCACACUGGAACUGAGACACGGCCCAGACUCCUACGGGAGGCAGCAGUGGGGAAUAUUGGACAAUGGGCGCAAGCCUGAUCCAGCCAUACCGCGUGGGUGAAGAAGGCCUUCGGGUUGUAAAGCCCUUUUGUUGGGAAAGAAAAGCAGCAGGUUAAUACCCCGCUGUUCUGACGGUACCCAAAGAAGAAGCACCGGCGAACUUCG